rnacentral:misc_RNA from 1 species
CUGGAUCAGUAGUCCAAGUGCUGGAAUUGGGUACUGGGGCAGGGAAGAACAAAGCCAAAACACUUUCAGAAAUGUCCUUAAGAAUCGUCCUGGAGAAAAAUACACAAGAACUGGAGACUUAGGAAGAAUAAUUGACGGGAAAUUAUUCAUCACAGGAAGAAUCAAGGAUCUAAUCAUCGUUGCAGGACGAAACAUUUAUUCAGCAGAUGUAGAAAAGACGGUUGAGAGUGUAUCCGAGAUUUUACGCCCAGGUUGUUGUGCGGUGGUUGGUGCUCCAGAGGAAGUCUUAUCAGCAAAAGGGAUUUCAGUUCCAGAUGGUUCUGACCAGGUUGGGUUGGUUGUAAUUGCAGAGGUUAGAGAUGGUAAGCCGGUUGCAAAGGAUCUGGUUGAACGGAUUAAAAACCGUGUUACAG